CUCUAUACUAUCAUCUAUUACUGUGUAAUUGAACCCUUGUCAGUAAAGCUCGUUUUAUCCUAGUUGAUGAUGAAGACGAUGUCUUUCAUGUUUGCGGUUGGUUUGAUCCCUUUGGACCUCUAGUUGUAUUUCCUACUCGUUGAAUUUCAUGAAAUAAUGUGUAAUUCUGUUGUUUGGUGAUCUUUAAUGUUUGGAAUUUUGACAGUCCUGGAUAAUUUUUAAAGGUCUUUGGUGAGUUUGAUUUUUGGUUUUCAAGGAACAAUGAAUGAAUUUUUGUGCAUGAGAAAUCUGCUAGGGUUACAUUCUCAUUAUGUGUUGUUGAUGAAUGAAGCACACCAUUUGGCUUUGACUGGAAUAUCAGUAGAUUAGAAUAAGAUGUUUGGGGAUUUCUGAAAUUUUAUUGUUGAUAUGCUUGCUAAUAUUAUUCGUUUAAUUACAAGUUUUUUUGUUGGUUGUGGUGUUGUUCAUUCUGGUUGAAUAAUUCUCUGAUAUUUCUUCAACAGUUAAAAGAAUGUGAUUAUGGUAAAUGUAGCAAUAUCUCACUAUCUCAGCUUUAAUUGCUUUGUCUACUGAUUAAAUUUUUGUGCUGGGCAAGGGCAAUAAAGGGUUAGGAGUUAGUUUUAGAUUGUGCUAUUUGAACUUUGAACCAUCAACCUGUUCUGUUAAAAGAUGAGGAUGAUCCAUGUGUUGUCAGAAGUAGAAAUAGUGAGUAUUUGAUCAUAUUAUUUCUGCAAGCAUUGAACCCAGUUCGAACAGCUGCUGCACUAUAUUGUUGAUGAACCUCUUGACCAUGCGGAUAGCAAACGGACAUUCAAGUUUCCAUUCAUUGCCUGUGAGAUAUUCACGGGUGAAAUUGAUGUUAUCCUUAAAACUCUGGUUGAAGAGGAAGAGUUAAUGAAUUUACUCUUUUCCUUUCUGGAAUCAAUCCGUCCUCAUAGUGCAUUGCUGGCUGGAUAUUUUAGCAAGGUUGUGGUAUGUCUAAUGCUGCGGAAGACUAUUCCGCUUAUGAAUUAUGUAAAGGUGGGUACUAAUGCUGGGCACGCCUAAAGCAUUGCAAUUUUCUUGACGGUAAACUGAGUUUCUUGUGUGUUUUGUGUACUCUGCAUUUCAAAUAUGGAGCUGCUCCAAUAUUAAUGAUUCAUUUAUCUGGUACUUUCAUGUUUUUGUGUUUUAUUUACUAGUUUUUAAUUUUCUUUGAAUUGGUUAUUGUUGACUGUGAUAGAAGCCCUAGUAAUUUUAAUGAAGCCACAAUUUGAUUACA